UACAGAGGGGGCAAGCGUUGUUCGGAAUUACUGGGCGUAAAGGGCUCGUAGGCGGCCAACUAAGUCAGACGUGAAAUCCCCAGGCUCAACCUGGGAACUGCGUCUGAUACUGGAUGGCUUGAAUCCGGGAGAGGGAUGCAGAAUUCCAGGUGUAGCGGUGAAAUGCGUAGAUAUCUGGAGGAACACCGGUGGCGAAGGCGGCAUCCUGGACCGAUACUGACGCUGAGGAGCGAAAGCCAGGGGAGCAAACGGG
rnacentral:rRNA from 1 species